rnacentral:rRNA from 1 species
GACGGAGGGUGCUAGCGUUGUUCGGAAUCACUGGGCGUAAAGGGCGCGUAGGCGGCCCAUGCAGUCGGUUGGUGAAAGCCCUCAGCUCAACUGAGGAAGUGCGCCCGAAACUGCAGAGCUUGAGUGCCGGAGAGGGUGGCGGAAUUCCCCAAGUAGAGGUGAAAUUCGUAGAUAUGGGGAGGAACACCGGUGGCGAAGGCGGCCACCUGGACGGUAACUGACGCUGAGACGCGAAAGCGUGGGGAGCAAACAGG